rnacentral:ribozyme from 1 species
ACAGCAAGCAAGAAUAGACACAGCAGAAACGAAAACAAGUUCUGUUCUUUUUUGAGUUUUUCUCUAAAACAUAUUUGCAACAAAUAGUAGUAGAAUCAAAAUUUUAAACUAGAUUCUUCAUUUCGA